rnacentral:miRNA from 1 species
UCAGUGUUUCACUUCUGAAUCCUUAAGCGUAAUCUUAGUGUCAGGCAUGAUGGCACUCAGGAGGCUGAGGCAGGAGGAU